GUCGAACGGAGAAUUUUAUUUCGGUAGAAUUCUUAGUGGCGAACGGGUGAGCAAUUAGUAGGCAACCUGCCCUUUAGACGGGGACAACAUUCCGAAAGGAGUGCUAAUACCGGAUGUGAUCAUCUUGCCGCAUGGCAGGAUGAAGAAAGAUGGCCUCUACAAGUAAGCUAUCGCUAAAGGAUGGGCCUGCGUCUGAUUAGCUAGUUGGUAGUGUAACGGACUACCAAGGCGAUGAUCAGUAGCCGGUCUGAGAGGAUGAACGGCCACAUUGGGACUGAGACACGGCCCAAACUCCUACGGGAGGCAGCAGUGGGGAAUCUUCCGCAAUGGACGAAAGUCUGACGGAGCAACGCCGCGUGAGUGAUGAAGGAUUUCGGUCUGUAAAGCUCUGUUGUUUAUGACGAACGUGCAGUGUGUGAACAAUGCAUUGCAAUGACGGUAGUAAACGAGGAAGCCACGGCUAACUACGUGCCAGCAGCCGCGGUAAUACGUAGGUGGCGAGCGUUGUCCGGAAUUAUUGGGCGUAAAGAGCAUGUAGGCGGCUUAAUAAGUCGAGCGUGAAAAUGCGGGGCUCAACCCCGUAUGGCGCUGGAAACUGUUAGGCUUGAGUGCAGGAGAGGAAAGGGGAAUUCCCAGUGUAGCGGUGAAAUGCGUAGAUAUUGGGAGGAACACCAGUGGCGAAGGCGCCUUUCUGGACUGUGUCUGACGCUGAGAUGCGAAAGCCAGGGUAGCGAACGGGAUUAGAUACCCCGGUAGUCCUGGCCGUAAACGAUGGGUACUA
rnacentral:rRNA from 1 species